CACUGACCCCUAUCAGUCAUUCGGUGUACUACAGGCUUCUUAGACAUUAUUGCUUUUCAUGUAAAAAACAAUAAACCACUGCAUUUUCACCUACACACUGACCCCUACCAGUCAUUCUGUGUACUACAGGCUUCUCAGACAUUAUUGCAUUUUAUGUACAAACCAACAAACCACUGCAUUUUUCACCUACAUACUGACCCCUAUCAGUCAUUCGGUGUACUACAGGCUUCUUAGACAUUAUUGCUUUUCGUG
rnacentral:lncRNA from 1 species